UCUGCUAUGAGCCUGCUUCUUCCUCUCCCACUCCCCCUGCUUGUGUUCCUUCUCUCUCUGGCUGUCUCUCUCUCUGUCAAAUAAAUAAAUAAAAUCUUUAAAAAAAAAAUAAAAAGUAAAAGUGUUAAGAUAUUGCAGGAAUAGGAGCAAAAUAAUGUCAGGAUAUUGGUUUGUGGAAAAUUCCAUGGUAUAAAGCUACAGAGAAUGAUCUCUGGAAAUACGGGUUACUAGUGCUUAGGAGAUGGGACACUGUCUUCCUUAGCAGAAACCAUCUCGUAGAUAGAGCUCUGGGAUGCCAUGGGAGCACAGAUCAAAUCCCAAACAAAUGGCCAGUAGGAAGAGUAUCACUAAAUGGAAGAAAUGAGCUUUGGAAUAGACAGGACAUGAUGAUAGGCAAUACCCAGGCAUAAAUACUGUAGAUAGUAGGGAAAGGGCCAGUGACAAUCUGAGUGAAGAAGCAAUUCCCAACUGACAGAAAUUUAAAUGUCAUCAUCUCCCAUUGGAAUAUUUUCUUUCUUUCUGUGAUUUAUGACCAUAUAGUCUGGAUUCUAAACUGUCUACCUCCUUUGAAUGGGUGUUUCACAAUCAGUUUACUUUUCCCCAGUUAUCUGUAUUAUUCUAGCCCUUUUCUAAAGAUAAGACUUUGUGUUUUGCAAGUAUAAACAAGUAUCAACUCAGAACUAAGUCGCUAAAAUAUUGGCCAAAAUGAUAAAGAGAAUUGUGACAAAUCUGCCUGACUAUGCCACAACAGUGACUAGAUUAUGUUUAGAAAUUUGACUGGCUUAUAAUGUAAGGAAUGUGCAAAACUAUUCUAAGUUUGCCUUUUUAUCUUCUGGCAUUUUGAGGGGAAGUGGACUGUAUACAAUACUCCCAGUUGGGGCUCUGGAACAUCGUGGAGACUGAAGGAGGAGUAGAAGUACAGAAGGAGAAAGCUUUCACGGAUGAAUAACGCUGAAUCCAUCAAAGAGAACCACUUGACACACAGCAGUACGCCACCUCUGGUUUUGGCUGAUAAAAUUCAGGCAUGUCUGGACAUGGACAGACUGGAACAAGCAACAUAAUUUAGGGAAGAGAGAUGAGCAGCUAUUCUGAUGCUUUUGAAAUUCUGUGUGUGUUGUGGCCAGUGAUGUCAGAACAUCACGUUCUCUGCACUCAUUAUUUCAGAAGCCCAAGUAGAUGGGAUGGAAUGAAGUCCUCCACUUCAGAGAAGAGCAAGACAGAGAGAGAGCACCCAAGCAGGGGGAGUGGCAGGCAGAGGGAGAGGGAGAAGCAGACUCAACACUAAGCAGGGAACCUGACAUGGGGCUCCAUCCCAGGACCCUGGGAUCAUGAUCUGAGCAUACCUUAACCGACUGAGCAACCCAUGCACACCCAUUAUGUGUCAUUUUCUUUGGUGUGGUGGCCACGCCAGGCUCGCUGUUACCCUGCACGACCAAGCUUUCCAUCCUUGGAUGCACGGAGGUUGGUCGGGCCCGCAAGAAUUGUGGUCGCGGGUGAGCACGCUGCAGACGUCGGAUCACG